UCCACGCCGUAAACGAUGAUCACUAGUUGUUGGCGAUAAAAUGUCAGUGACUGAGCGAAAGCAUUAAGUGAUCCACCUGGGGAGUACGUUCGCAAGAAUGAAACUCAAAGGAAUUGACGGGGGCCCGCACAAGCGGAGGAACAUGUGGUUUAAUUCGAUGAUACGCGAGGAACCUUACCCGGGCUUAAAUGCAGACUGACAGGGUUGGGAAACCGUACUUUUCUUCGGAC
rnacentral:rRNA from 1 species